rnacentral:rRNA from 1 species
CCUACGGGCGGCUGCAGUGGGGAAUAUUGGACAAUGGGCGAAAGCCUGAUCCAGCCAUGCCGCGUGUGUGAAGAAGGCCUUCGGGUUGUAAAGCACUUUCAGUGGGGAAGAAAGCCUUGGGGCUAAUACCCUCGAGGAAGGACAUCACCCACAGAAGAAGCACCGGCUAACUCCGUGCCAGCAGCCGCGGUAAUACGGAGGGUGCGAGCGUUAAUCGGAAUUACUGGGCGUAAAGCGCGCGUAGGCGGUCUGAUAAGCCGGUUGUGAAAGCCCCGGGCGCAACCUGGGAACGGCAUCCGGAACUGUCAGGCUAGGGUGCAGGAGAGGAAGGUAGAAUUCCCGGUGUAGCGGUGAAAUGCGUAGAGAUCGGGAGGAAUACCAGUGGCGAAGGCGGCCUUCUGGACUGACACUGACGCUGAGGUGCGAAAGCGUGGGUAGCAAACAGGAUUAGAUACCCGGGUAGUC